AACGAACGCUGGCGGCAUGCCUAACACAUGCAAGUCGAACGAGAUCUUCGGGUCUAGUGGCGCACGGGUGCGUAACGCGUGGGAAUCUGCCCUUUGGUUCGGAAUAACAGUUGGAAACGACUGCUAAUACCGGAUGAUGACGAAAGUCCAAAGAUUUAUCGCCAGAGGAUGAGCCCGCGUAGGAUUAGCUAGUUGGUGUGGUAAAGGCGCACCAAGGCGACGAUCCUUAGCUGGUCUGAGAGGAUGAUCAGCCACACUGGGACUGAGACACGGCCCAGACUCCUACGGGAGGCAGCAGUGGGGAAUAUUGGACAAUGGGCGAAAGCCUGAUCCAGCAAUGCCGCGUGAGUGAUGAAGGCCUUAGGGUUGUAAAGCUCUUUUACCCGGGAAGAUAAUGACAGUACCGGGAGAAUAAGCUCCGGCUAACUCCGUGCCAGCAGCCGCUGUAA
rnacentral:rRNA from 1 species